GAUGAACGCUAGCGGCAGGCUUAAUACAUGCAAGUCGAGGGGCAGCGGGGGGUAGCAAUACCUGCCGGCGACCGGCAAACGGGUGCGGAACACGUACACAACCUUCCUAUAAGUGGGGGAUAGCCCAGAGAAAUUUGGAUUAAUACCCCGUAAUAUUAUUUAGUGGCAUCAUUAGAUAAUUAAAGCUCCGGCGCUUAUUGAUGGGUGUGCGUCUGAUUAGGUAGUUGGUGAGGGUAACGGCCCACCAAGCCUUCGAUCAGUAACUGGUGUGAGAGCACGACCAGUCACACGGGCACUGAGACACGGGCCCGACUCCUACGGGAGGCAGCAGUAAGGAAUAUUGGUCAAUGGACGCAAGUCUGAACCAGCCAUGCCGCGUGGAGGAUGAAGGUCCUCUGGAUUGUAAACUUUCUUUUUAUCUGGGAAGAAAUGCUAUUUUUUCUAAAGUGUUUUGACGGUACCAGAUGAAUAAGCACCGGCUAACUCCGUGCCAG
rnacentral:rRNA from 1 species